AGUGAACGCUGGCGGUAGGCCUAACACAUGCAAGUCGAACGGCAGCACAGUAAGAGCUUGCUCUUACGGGUGGCGAGUGGCGGACGGGUGAGGAAUACAUCGGAAUCUACUUUUUCGUUGGGGAUAACGUAGGGAAACUUACGCUAAUACCGCAUACGACCUACGGGUGAAAGCAGGGGAUCUUCGGACCUUGCGCGAUUGAAUGAGCCGAUGUCGGAUUAGCUAGUUGGCGGGGUAAAGGCCCACCAAGGCGACGAUCCGUAGCUGGUCUGAGAGGAUGAUCAGACACACGGGAACGGAGACACGGUCCAGACUCCUACGGGAGGCAGCAGUGGGGAAUAUUGGACAAGGGGCGCAAGCCUGAUCCAGCCAUACCGCGUGGGUGAAGAAGGCCUUCGGGUUGUAAAGCCCUUUUGUUGGGAAAGAAAAGCAGCAGGUUAAUACCCCGCUGUUCUGACGGUACACAAAGAAUAAGCACCGGCUAACUUCGUG
rnacentral:rRNA from 1 species